rnacentral:rRNA from 1 species
AUACGUAGGGGGCGAGCGUUGUCCGGAAUGAUUGGGCGUAAAGGGCGCGUAGGCGGCCCGGUAAGUCUGGAGUGAAAGUCCUGUUUUUAAGAUGGGAAUUGCUUUGGAUACUGUCGGGCUUGAGUGCAGGAGAGGUAAGUGGAAUUCCCAGUGUAGCGGUGAAAUGCGUAGAGAUUGGGAGGAACACCAGUGGCGAAGGCGACUUACUGGACUGUAACUGACGCUGAGGCGCGAAAGUGUGGGGAGCAAACAGGAUUAGAUACCCUGGUAGUCCACACUGUAAACGAUGAAUGCUAGGUGUAGGGGGUAUCGACCCCUUCUGCGCCGCAGUCAACACAAUAAGCAUUCCGCCUGGGGAGUACGGCCGCAAGGUUGAAACUCAAAUGAAUUGGCGGGG